CUACUUACCUGGCAGCAGGGAUACCAUGGCCAUGAAGGUGGAUUUCCAGGGUGAGGCUUAUGCGUUGUACUCUGAAUGAGCUGACCCCUGUAAUUUCCCCAAAUGUAGAAGACUUAACUGCAUAAUUUGUGGUCGCAGGGGAUUGUGUUCUCACUCUCCCCUU